GACGAACGCUGGCGGCGUGCCUAAUACAUGCAAGUCGAACGCUGAAGAGAGGAGCUUGCUCUUCUUGGAUGAGUUGCGAACGGGUGAGUAACGCGUAGGUAACCUGCCUUGUAGCGGGGGAUAACUAUUGGAAACGAUAGCUAAUACCGCAUAACAAUGGAUGACACAUGUCAUUUAUUUGAAAGGGGCAAUUGCUCCACUACAAGAUGGACCUGCGUUGUAUUAGCUAGUAGGUGAGGUAACGGCUCACCUAGGCGACGAUACAUAGCCGACCUGAGAGGGUGAUCGGCCACACUGGGACUGAGACACGGCCCAGACUCCUACGGGAGGCAGCAGUAGGGAAUCUUCGGCAAUGGGGGCAACCCUGACCGAGCAACGCCGCGUGAGUGAAGAAGGUUGUCGGAUCGUAAAGCUCUGUUGUAAGUCAAGAACGAGUGUGAGAGUGGAAAGUUCACACUGUGACGGUAGCUUACCAGAAAGGGACGGCUAACUACGUG
rnacentral:rRNA from 1 species